AGGCCUCCCACUGAGCCAGGCCAAGGAGACAGAUCAUCCCAGCAGUCCUGGUCUUAGGAGUGACAAAGAGCUGAGGGACAGCUUUGGAAAGAUCCAUGCUGAAUUGUACAAGUUGGCUGAGGAGAAAGAGCAGAAGAAAAUGGAGCUUUUGGGAAAAGAGAUGAAGAGGAGACAAAAUGAAAAAUCUUUGCAGCUUCCUCCAGAGACAGUUGAGCCUGGGGAUGCAGCUAAAGCAAGCUUUAGCCUACCAUCUAUCAAUGGCACAGCUCCCAGUGUGCAGAGAAAACACCCUGGUGGUGCCAUGAAGAAAACGGUCGUGAGAGAGCAGGACAAGGUGCCCAUUCUGCCCAGUACACCCACCAUCCAUGGAG